UUUAAAAGGAAUCAUUUUAUUUGUUAAACAACUUUGUACCUGAACAUCAGGACAAUAAGAAAACAAUUCUGUUAAUUGAUGCUUUAAUGCUGUUAUAGAAAUGGCACCUGUAUUUCUGGAAACAGCACGUUAGCAAGGCAAUCAACAUUUCCUCCUUUAUGCAAGUAAUACUGCAAUAGUCUGUGAUCUCUUUGACCAUUUUUGGAAUGAUUUUCAGUACAGAAAGCAAAGUUGCUUUGGGAGAGGGGGAGUGAGGAAAAAUUAGGUAGAGAGGAAAUUAUCUAUUAGUUCUGCAGUUUGAUUCUGUUUUCUACUUUCUCCCAAAGGAAAUCUGUAACUUUCUUUCCUGUCUGUGUGGAACUGGGUAUGAAAACAAGCAGAGGGACAGGCCGCAUCAUGGAGGGCAGCAAGCAGGAUCGGGCUCACAUGUUGUGGAGGACGGGAGGCAGACGCAAGCUGACAAGAAAAUGGCUGACAAGAAAAUCUACCCAAGAGGCAAAGAAGCUACUAUUAUGAACACACAAUGGGACCAAAGAUACUUCUUUAAUUAGUCUAACUGAAGAAAACAAUCAAUAAUGGUUGAACUGGUGCUAGAAAUUAUGUCAGAGAAAGAUGAAAGGUACUCUGAAGCACUUGAACAUUUAACUCACAGUGGAGAAAUACCGCCCAGUUUCUACUCAACAUCUUCGUUAGCCACUUGGUUUAAAAGAUUCUGGCCACUGCAUGAGAACUGGCAUUCAAGAAUGGCUCCUUCUGGUUCCAGAGUCCCAGAGGCUCUCAGCCUGCCACUGAGCAAGAGCUUAGAUCUCUUGUUCAGCCACCAGGAACACACUGCCCAAACUGCUGCUCUGCCCCAUCUCAGGAGCCACUAA
rnacentral:lncRNA from 1 species